UUUUCUUGGGCUUCUUUUUUUCUGUUAUUAGUUGAAGCGUGGGUUUUGAGAGAAAUCGAAGCCGUUUUCCUUUGUUGUGGGCUUUUAUGUUAACAAGAUUACUUCGCAGUUAUAUUUCUAUUUCUGACGGGUUAGCGAUGGGGAUCGCAAUUAAUUUUUUUUUUGCACGUGGAAUAACCCCGAAAGUGUUCAGUGUAAUUUUUGCUGUUGAGGAAUCUUAAGUUUAUUGAAGAUUUGAAAACCAUGCUGCCCAUCACUCUGUCUACCAUGCCCUAAAAGCUGAGUAACAUUUUACAUGCACAUUGUUCUUAAUGGCACCAUUAUGGAACUUCACUUCAGCCAUCCAAUCUAAGACUUGCAUCAAGUUGUGCAAAUUAACAUUUACCUUUGCUGCGAACAUCAGUGUUAUAAUGGUUGUAGUCCACAAUCUGGACAUCCGUUGCGUUCAGUCAUUUGAACAGGAAUCUAAUGGCUGUCAAUAGGUGGCUGAAAUGAUUAAUGAUGUCCACCAGGUAGCGCGAGUGUCUUCAGGAACGCAUAGCGGCCAUUUUGAUCCAAGACGCAGCAGAAAUUGGUUGUCGGUUGUGACGUUUCUCACGAUGAAAAUUAAAAGAUUCAACAUGACUAACUGUUUGAUGCCAAAGUUAGUUGGAACUCAGUACUCAACUCACUGUAGGUACUCUAACACAGAUAACUGGUGCUGUGCCUUUCACUUUUCAGCCACAGGCAGG